rnacentral:rRNA from 1 species
UACGUAGGGACCAAGCGUUGUUCGGAUUUACUGGGCGUAAAGGGCGCGUAGGCGGCUUGACAAGUCACUUGUGAAAUCUCCGGGCUUAACUCGGAACUGCCAAGUGAAACUGUCAUGCUAGAGUGCAGAAGGGGCAAUCGGAAUUCUUGGUGUAGCGGUGAAAUGCGUAGAUAUCAAGAGGAACACCUGAGGUGAAGACGGGUUGCUGGGCUGACACUGACGCUGAGGCGCGAAAGUGUGGGGAGCGAACAGG